rnacentral:rRNA from 1 species
AUUGAACGCUGGCGGCAGGCCUAACACAUGCAAGUCGAGCGGUUGAGGUAGCUUGCUACCGAUGCAGCGGCGAACGGGUGAGUAAUACAUGGGAAUCUGCCUGGUAGUGGGGGACAACGUCUCGAAAGGGACGCUAAUACCGCAUACGCCCUACGGGGGAAAGGGGGGGAUCUUCGGACCUCUCGCUAUCAGAUGAGCCCAUGUCAGAUUAGCUAGUUGGUAGGGUAAAGGCCUACCAAGGCGACGAUCUGUAACUGGUCUGAGAGGAUGAUCAGUCACACUGGAACUGAGACACGGUCCAGACUCCUACGGGAGGCAGCAGUGGGGAAUAUUGGACAAUGGGCGCAAGCCUGAUCCAGCCAUGCCGCGUGUGUGAAGAAGGCCUUAGGGUUGUAAAGCACUUUCAGUGGGGAGAAAGGUAAUUCACUUAAUACGUGAGUUAAUUGAUGUUACCCACAGAAGAAGCACCGGCUAACUCCGUGCCAGCCGCCGCAGUAA